UCAUUUGAGGGAAAAUGAUUCCUCAAAUCUGUUUCUUUAUUUGCCAAAUUGCUGGCCUUUUUGCUCUUUUCUUUAAAGAAAAAAAAAAGAGAGAAAGAAAAAGAAAUGUCCACUUGCACCAAUGUGACCAAACCUUUAUUCCUUUAAGGGAUGAGAAAUGUGAGAACCCACUCAAGUAAGUUCAAACCUAACUGCAACUCAGCUCUGCCCAGCUCUUGACAUAGGAUGACACAAGCCAGGCAGAUGGGCUCAGAGCCUCUCUUCCGACAGUGACUCAGGGAUCUGGGCUGCUUUCACCUUGAAAUUCUAUCAUCCUGGAGGACUUGGCUGUCAGCCACAUGGAUAGAAGAGAGGGAGGGUGAUCAACUCACAAACACUUUGAUUGCCUUGGACCAGCAGGACCAGCAGGUGAGCUCAACUCACCUUCUGAUUGGUGGAGGCUCAGUCUUAUGAUUUCUACCUCACUGCAAAGGAAGGCUUGGAAAAUGUAGUGAGUACUAUUUCUUCCGCAGUAAGAAUCAAUAGCUUGGCAGUAGAGGCUUGAUGUUGAUAUGUGGUUUAAACUGUACGUUGUUACGUUUUGGAGGAGGCACGUGGUAACAGAGAAAUGGCAUCAUGUGCAUAUCCUAGUAUAUUCUAUUUUUUUUCAGCCAAUUGACAAAUGAUUUCAGAUUUUGAUUCUCGCUGAUUGGCAUUUCUCUUGGUCCUGUGUAAACAUAUCCCUUCCGAUAGGCUACUGGCUUACUGUUGCCUCCCAUUCUUUUUUCUCUACCAGUAUGAGCAGAGUAAACUCAUUUCCUUGCACUGGUUUCAACCAGCCAUACUGGCAUGCACUUUGGACAAAUGUGUUACUAGUUUCCUUAACUGAUCCUGGAACUUGGCUAAUUACGUUUUCACAGCAGAUACACUUUGCCUCCAGAAUAGGGCAUGAGAAACUAAAAACGUUGUGCUUAGCAAUUCCAGAGAGCAUUCAAAGGUUAAUAAACAACAACAACAGCGGCAACAGCAAGAACAAAAACGAGCAAACAAUUGGCUUGCUUUUCAUGUCCUUGAAGGCAUGAGGUCAGAGCACACCUUUCCUUGCGUUCAAAUAUAUUUAUCUUGUGGUAGACUGGUUUGAUUGGUUUGGUAACUUGUGUCUGUCCAGGUCUCAAACUCUGGUUUUAUGACCACUUAUCUUUUUAUCCAACUGAAGCUUUUUCCUACUAAUAGAACUGAUUUGCAAUAAUGAUUUGCAAAAUGAUUUGCAAUAAAUAUAUUGCCUUAUCCUAGGCUAAAAUCCUGAUCAAAUUGCUAUGUGAUCGUCACGUCUUCACCCUAUAUAUAAUUUUAGUGAUCAUGUAAAGAAGCACUUGAAGCCUGUUGGGUCAUCCCUGGAGUCCAGAGAAUCUGAUCUGCACAGGAAACUUGGCUUAAGUUGUUUGGAAAUGAUCAAUGACCCGAAAUAUGAGGGAAAGCUGGUAGAUUUUCUUCUUACCUUUCAGCUGAUUCCACCAAGCCUUUUUCCUGUUUUCGUGAUGGUAUUUUGACUUUCUAAGUCGAAGGGCAAUUUUUAUUACAAGGAUCUGGCUUUCAAUUUCCUGGAUGUUUGCUUGUUUCAGAAAAUUUAAAGCCUUGGAUAUUUUAGGGCUAUCUCCUUUGGUUAUAUUUUGAAUACCUCCUAGAUAACUUGUACAAAUAUUUUGAGUUAGAUGUAUGUCUGCACAUAGGAAACUUGCAGGCUUUCAUGUUUUCUCACUUCUUUUCUCUUUAAAGUCAACAUAGUAUUUUUACUUUCAGAAAUUUCCUCUAUAUAUCCUGUGCAUUGUCUAUACCGAGCCAUCCUGUGUUUUAGACCUGUGCAUCACAAGCUAUUGAAAACAUACAGAAGCCCUUGUGAUGGAAGGGAGACCAAGGAGUGGAAGGGGAAGGAAGGUUGUAGACCUGCUGGAUUUCUAAUAAAUGUGAGAGUGUUGUGUCUUAAUCUAAUUUCAGCUGCCACUGAACAACACAUGCACAUACGGUCAAAUGCGCUACCCUGAAGGGCAUCUCUUUAAGGCAAUUCCAAGACAUUCUUAUCACAGUUGAAGACAUUUUCUACAAUAAGAAAAAAAAACAAAACAUUCCAGUGACUGCUCUGUGUUACGGCAAAGUUGCAAGGCAGAAAUGAUGGCAGGUAAUUAUGCAAACGGACCCACUCCAGUUGUGCGAAAUAUCAAUGAUAGUCAUUGUGUUCUAUGAUUCAUUGUUAUGCUCAGACCCAUUCAUGUGUUUGUGACUGCCCUUUCUGAGCAAUGUGAAAAGCAGAAAACAAAGCCCCAUGUUUAGCAUCAUCUCCAAUAAUGAUGAAUAUUUGCAAUCAAGUCCACAAUAUGACACAGAGUACUUCUACAAUAAAUGCUGAAAAAUAGGGAAGCACGCUGAGAAGACGUGACUGUUUCACUUAAUGCCAGAUUUCUCUGCAGCAAAUGAAGAACAGUGAACUGGAUCAAAUUCUAAAAUUUCAGUUCCUGAGUCUGGUCGUGAGGUACAUUUGACUUCUUCAGAUGAUGGAUUUAUUAAUUAGGAUAUUAAAAAAUCUGUGACUUACUGCUAAUUCUAUUUUAAAAAAAAUAAUGUCAGUGUCUGACUGGGAGGGAAAAGGUGUCUCCCAUGAUUAAUGACAUAUUGGGUACAAAGUUACUAAAUUCUUCUUCAGAUUCAUAAAGGCAUUAGCUAUUUCUUAAGGUCUGUAGUGGGUAAAUGAAAAUAGUCUAUGUAGUUCUUAGUGUUUUCUUCAUUUUGAUGUUUUCAUGAACAUUAAUGAUUUAUUAUUUUUGGCACUUUUUUCUUCUCUAUGAUCUGGCUUUGCUAUUUUACCAGGGAUGUGACUUUUGAACAACUCAGUCUCUCUAAGAUCCCACUUCCUACUUUUCUUUAGAAAGCAGGGAUAACAUCUCAAAGUUAAAUGAAGGUGAGGGUAGAAAGAGACACAGGUAAGUUCAUUAUAUUUUUGCUCCCUUCUUUCAAAUUUGAAGUGGGAAAUGUCAACAAAAUUACUUAUUUCAAAAUAGAAAAUUAUUAUAUUUUAAGGAUACUGAGACACAGUUUUAGGAAAGUUAAUGGAAUUUGAAAGAAAUAUGGAUUAGUAAAAUGAGCAGUUGCUCUCUGUUGUGUGAUUACGCUGCAUUUUUCCUAGUAUCGCUGAUACGCGUUUCAGUGAGAAGAGAUGCCACGUUGUUUUACUUUUAAAAUAUCAAAUUAAAUCUGACUCUGAGUCUCCAGUCUCUGAAUGGCCAGGUUUUGGAUGCCUGGAUCACAUGAGGACCUGUAGACACGAUGAGACUUUGAAGGCUGGUUGCAGCUGUCUAUACCAUUGGUACUGGGGCUUGGCCUCCACUCUAUUGGAGCUCAGACCUUGUAUGAUUUUUCAGAUUCUCCCAGUUGCCUCCUCCCUCAUCUCACUUGGCUAGAGCCCCACCUGACCCUCAUUGCCCCAUUAUUUCAGGCUUUGAUGAUAAGCCAUCUGGCAGGACAUGGGAUGUAAUUUCCUGAGAAACAUCAAUAUGCGGGCUUUUGGUGAAAUACAGAAGUUUUGAGGUGAACUUCGACUAGUGAGAAAGGGGAAAUGAGAGGGAGUCAAGAUCAAUUACCUGCAUUUGUUUGGUUCUUGUGGACUGCUAUAAGGUGCAAUUCCUAUUUGUCAACCUGACUGGAGAAGCCCCUCCUGCCAUGUGAACAUGCCUGUUGAGCCACCUGCUGUCUCUCCUCCUGGUUCCUGAAGUGGUAUUCAGCUAGCUAUCCAUUGCAUCACAUUGUUUCACAUCUUUCCAUGCCUCCUCUCCUUUUCUCCUCACUCUCACAGCCCUGGUUGGCAUCUCCCAAGUAAAGUUUUACCAGCUUGAUCUUAGUCCCCAGCUCUGCUUUAUGGAAAAUUGGGCUCAGACAGCCACAGCCCUUCUGCAUCAUGUGCUGUAUGGAAGCAGAGCUUGAAUCUUUGCUAUUGGAAGGAUUGACCUGGAAUGGAUCUCUUCCCGGGCUUGGGUUACUCAUCCUUUCCAUGGCAGGUCAGGUUGUUUCCUUUAUCCAAACCUCAACAUCAGCCUUUCUUAAUGAGUUUACAUUCCCAAACAAAACCUGGAAGAAAAUUGUCUUCAGGGGGCUUCAUGUCAUCUACUUUCACCCUUGAACACCAAAGUCAUAAAUUGCUUCCUGCACUUAGGAGCACCAGACUUGGGUCUCAAGCUUGGCUAUUGUCUUAAGAUGGAGAUGGAAAAAAUACUUCCUUUUUAUAUCCCUAAGAAUACAACAGAAAAUAGCUUCUCAGUUGAUUAUCUUGUUACACGGGCAGCUCUCUGUUUCACUACUCCACACAGGCAUCCAAGCAAGUGAAGAAUAAGGGAGAUGUGUUAAAAUCUCACGGAGUAUUUCAAAAGUUCCAUAGGUUUUCUCUAGCUUCUUGGAAUUCUAAGAUUUGUACUUUCUCCAUGGAAACAUGAGCUUUACAUGCAAUCUGCCAAAACUGUUUGGCCUAAACAAUUUAGGUAAAACUGUGAAGUUAUCUGGAAAAGGGGAGUAUCAGGACAGUGAGACAUCAUUAUUGGAGAGAAAGAAUGGAUACGCCAUCACCUAGAUAUUCACUAAUGGGAUAUUGUUGGGUGGGGGGUUGGGCCUACAAGUGGGCAAUAGAGGCUAAAAUGUUUUGUUGUUGUUGUUCUAGAGAUGCUUAUCAAUGCAAUUAAAGAAAUGAGGGGUAUAAAAUUAGAAAGAAGGGGGAAAGUGAUGGUUAUUUGCAAAUGAUGUGAUCAUUUAUUUGAAAUAUUCAAGAUAAUCAACUGAAAGGCUAACAUUGAUAAGAGAGCUAAGAAAGACAUUUACAAUUAAUAAACUGAAAUCAAGAAUUUUUUUCACACCCGCCUAGAAAAUAUAUUGGGAGGAAAUGUCCCAUUUACAAUAGAAAGAAAGAGAUAAACUACCUAGGAAUAAUAGAAAAAGAAAGCAUGCAAGGCCUACAUAAAUAAAAUGUUAAAACGUUAAUGCAAACGUGAAAGAAGUGAAAGAAUGGCUAUUCUGUUCCUAUACUUGAAUGGAAAAUUCUGUAUCAUAACAGUAUUAUUCUAAGUUUUGAGAUCCAUUCAAGAUGAUUCUAAAGUUUCUAUGAGAAAAUGAACAUGCAAGAAUUGCCAGGAGAAUUCAGAAUCAAAAGGAUUAGGAAAAAAAAAAAUUCUAGCCCUAGAGAAAAUAAAGCCUACCAUAAAGUUACAGUAAUUUAAUAUUGUGAUACUUGCCAAUGGAAUAGGUUGGAGUCCAGAAAUAGGGCCAGAUAUGAAGGAGGGGAAUCAGGGCCUCUUAAGUGUGGUUGGUCCUGAUGUAAAACCUUUAACAAUAUCUAGCUAGCUUAAAAAUGCACAGACUCUGACCUGAGAGCUCUAUUUUUAGGAAGUUAUCGUAUAGACAUUAUCAGAAACAUUUAAGUGUUUGCAGAUAUAUUUGUUAUAUCAUUUCUGUAAUGACACAAACAAAAAUAAAAGCUAAUAAAAUAUCAGUGUUCAAACCAAUUGAACCAUUGUUCAAUUUGACAACCAAAUAAACUGAAAUACCCAUGGAAUGAAAUAUUAAGCAGCCAUUUAAAAAAUUUCAUGAGGCAGCUUUAUACGAACUGAUUCAGUUUGACCUUCAAUAAAACUUAAAUGAAAAGCUAAGGAUUAGAAU